ACUCGGUUGGCUCAGUUGGUAGAGCACGAGACUCUUUAUUAAUCUCAAAGUCAGGGGUUUGAGCCCCACCUUGGGCA